GUCAGCCAGAGCGAGCCGCAGGACAGCUGGUCAUCUGGUCCAAGUCCUUGUGGGUGCUAGAUGUACGCGCAAGGGGGCGUGCUGCCAGACCUCUUUCGACACCAGGGUCAGAGAAACCCCAGGGCAGGAAGCUAGAGUUAUGAAGCAAGACACCUGCAUGAAGCUUAUGUAAAUCCAAGAAAAGUGAUGACAGCAGUGGCUGAGGGUGGCAGAGGUCCAAGACACCAUAUGGCUGUAUUUUUUCCUUGGAGGUGGACAGCUGCAAGAACAAAGAAUUCCAACACCAAGAAGUUUGCAACAACCAACCACACCUACUCCCCUUUUAGUGUAAAAGAAGCCUGAAUUCUAAUUCAGGUUGUGAAUAUUUUUAAGUCUAUGAGGUAUGAAGUAGACACUUUUCUAAGAGGAACAAAAGAAGACAAAGCUUGACAUUUGGAACACUGGCACCGAUGGUGAACAUUCCCAGAAAGAUCCAUCUGACAAGACACAGCAAGAAGCAGUUAGAAUGGUCGUUGCCCAUUUUCCACAAGAUUGUGGAAUGGACCUUGCAGCGGGGAAUUGUAACAGGGAAGACUCCAUGUCGGGUCUGUUUCUUUGACUUUAACCUUUGCUUUUUGUUGCCUUUGUUGUUAUAAUCCUACAUAAUGGUCUGUCUCAGGGAACCCUGCCCCUCUGUCUGAAUGUUAAACUAAAGUGGCUUUGUUCAGUUCUGGGGGAGACCACCUGACCCUGCCCACCUGUGAAUGGCUGCAGAAAAAAAGAAAUGAAUACAUCCGCUCCCCAAUGCUGGCCAAGCCAGACAAAACUAAUGGUUUUUUACUUUUACUUCCUUACCUCCUCCCCCUCUUGGUUCUAUAAGGGAAACUGGCAUCUAGACCCCAAAAAGAUGGUUUUGGGGGGACACUAGACUGCCAUUUUUUCGGAGUGCUGGUUUUCCAAAUAAAGUCACUAUUCCUUGCCUCAACAUCUCAUCUCCCGAUUUAUUGGCCUGUUGGUGAGCAGAGCGAGCUUGGACUCGGUAACAAGACUGAUGCUGAUUGCAUAAUAAUGGCCCAUGGGUGGCCUCCUCAAGGCUGUUCCUUGGCAUGUACUGGACAGAGAAGCCCCUUCAAGGUCCCUGAGGCCCUUCUUUGGGCUCACUUCCUAUAAAGGAUGGGCAGGCCAGCUUUGGGCCUCCGUAUCACUUAACACAGCCCCCAAGCAGACCUGUCAGCUCCCUACCAACCUUUUCUUUUCUGCACCCCCUUCCCGCAAUAUUUGCUGAAGCACUUCCUGCCUUUGGGCCUCUGGAGGUUCAAAGAGGAACAGAGCAGAGUCCCUGACUCACCCAGCCCCGUCCCUGCCUGGGAGUUUGGCCUUCUCUGACCCUUUGAUAAUCUGGUCUUUCCUGUGAAAACCAACUAACCACUCUCAAGAAGAUACAUGUUUGGAUUAUUGCUUCUUCUUUUUGCAAAGCUUUACAGUAAGUCAGCAAGAGAAAAACAAAUACUGUAUAUUAAUGCAUAUACAUGGAGUUUAGAAAAAUAGUACUGAUGAAGCUAGUGGCAGGACAGGAAUAGAGAUGCAGAUGUAGAGAAUGGACUGUGAACACAGAGGGAAAGGGGAGAGUAGGAUGAAUUGAGAGAGUAGCAUCGACAUAUAUACACUAUCAUGUGUGAAAUAGAUGGCUAGUGGGAAGCUGCUGCAUAGCACAGGGAGAUCAGCUCGGUGCUUUGUGAUGACCUAGAGGGGUGGAACGGGGAGGGUGAGAGGGAGACUCAACAGGGAGGUGUUAUAGGUAUACAUAUAGCUGAUUCACUUUGUUGCACAGCAGAAACUAACACAACGUUGUAAAGCAAUUAUAAUCCAAUAAAGGUAUUAAAAAAACAAAACAAAACAAAAAGAUACAUACACCCCAAUGUUCAUUGCAGCACUAUUUAUGAUAACCAGGACAUGAAAGCAACCUAAAUGUCCAUCAACAGAGGAAUGGAUAAAGAUGAUGUGGCACAUAUAUACAAUGGAAUAUUACUCAGCCAUAAAAAGGAACAAAAUUGUGUCAUUUGCAGAGACGUGGAUGGACCUAGGACUGUCAUACAGAGUGAAGUAAGUCAGAAAGAGAAAAAUAAAUAUCAUAUAUUAACAAAUUAUAUGUAGAAUCUAGAAAAAUGAUAUAGAUGAUCUUGUUUGCAGGGCAUAAAUAGAGACUCAGACACAGAGCACAAGCGUGUGGAUACUGGGGGGGGAAAGGGGCAGGGGAUGAAUUGGGAGAUUGGGAUUGAUGUAUAUACACUGCUAUGUAUAAAAUGGAUAACUAAUGAGAACCUACUGUACAGCGCAGGGAACUCUGCUCAGUGCUCUGUGGUGACCUAAAUGGGAGGGAAAUCCAAAAAAGAGGGGAUAUAUGUAUACAUGUGGCUGAUUCACUUUGCUGUACAAGCAGAGACUGACACAGCAGUGCAAAGCAACUAUACUCCAAUUAAAAAAAUUUCUUAUAUUCCUAUGGAAUUUUUGUCUACUUAUUAUAUUACUGAGAGAGGUAUUUAAAAAAUCUUCCACCUCGGUUUUUAACUUACAUAUUUAGUCUUCUACUGCUGACAAUUUUUGUGUUGUGUAUUUUGAAGCUAUGUUAUUAGUUAUACAGCACUAAGAUAGCCAACACCAGCUUUCUUUAGGUUAAUGUUAGCAUAGUACAUCUUUUUUUUGGAACUGAAUUUAUUUAUUUAUUUAUUUUUCUCAUUUUUUAAAUUUAUUUAUUAUUAUUUUUUGAGGUACAUCAAGUUCAAUCGUCUGUAUUUAUACACAUAUUCCCGUAUUCCCUCCCUCCCUCGACUCCCCCCCUGCCUCCCUGUCCCAGUCCUCUAAGGCAUCAUCCAUCCUGGAGUUGAACUCCCUUUGUUAUACAGCAGCAUAGUACAUCUUUUUACACCCUUUUACUUUCAAUCUCUCUGUAUCCUUAAGAGUUUAGGUAUUACACUGUCUUAUGGUUACCUCUUUGAAGAGAAUGUAUCUUUUUUCCUCUGGCUCUUCCUAAGUUUUUGUUUUCCGUUUUACUGUAAUAUGCAUAGAUAUGAUUUCCUUUGUUUUUAUUUUGGUGAAAUAAAAGUGUCUUAAUGACUUCUGUCCAUUUUGGUAACUUUUCAAAUGUUAUUUAUUCAAAUAUUGCUUCUGUCCCAUUUUAUCUCUUUUCCUUUGGGGCUACAAUUAAUAUUACAUAUUAUGUUUUUUCAUCUUAUCUGCUAGAUCUCUUAUGACCUUUCCUAUAGUCUCCAUCCUUUUGUCUUUCAC